GGGAGCGCCCUGGGAGCCCAGAGGCUCCUCAGUGAGAGCAGCGCCGCGACCUUUGCAGAGGCGUGACAGCGGGGCGGCCGAAGUUGGCCGCGGGCCGCCGGGCACUCGCCCUCCCCAGGACGGGGCAGAAUCUCCCGCAGCAAAAGGUCGCUCUGCUCCCUGCUUCUAGUCAGGGUUCGGUGGCCUUAUUUUGAAUGAAGAGCAUGAAGAAAGGGUAUUGCUCAUCUAGGUGAUGAUAAAUUCAUUUGUGCCUCCCCGCCCCCACCCAGAAUACUGACUGCUCCCUAUGUAGAGUCUUAAUCCAUCUUAGACAUUGAUUUUCAUGGACUACUUCAUACAAUAGUGAUCUGGAACCCUUCCAUUGAAAGUACCAAAGAUGUUAAAAAAAAGAGAGAAAUAAAGAAAAUCUUAAAGAGGAAAAAUGAUAGUAUUGCCAUAUGAGAAAUGAAUACUCAAAUAUGUGAAGCACAGAUGACCAAACUGAAGCAAAAACUUCUCAGAAUGGAGCCUCUUCAGAAGACUUCCCCUCUGAGGAGCCUCCUUGACAAGUCCUCUGCUCAUUCCUCUGUGUUUCCCAAUGAACCUGUGCCUCCCUCUGCUGAAGCAAAUAGCAGUCUGCUAUGUCUCUCCUGUGAGACAAUGAAGAAGCAUUUCAGGGAAUUGAAAUGUAGGCUGCAGCCAAAAUUGGUGAAACCUAGAUUAUAGGCCUGGCUUUUCCUCACUUUAAUAUGGAAUUUUGGAGUGUUGCAAUUCAUAUUCUCUAACAUUACUGACAAUGUCCUUCUUCUACCCAUGACUUCUGGAGUAAUGCUCUGCAUUUGGAUAACUCCCAAUAAAUGUUCCUUCAUUAAAGAAUGGAAAGCAUUUCUCAGAGUACUUUUACCAUGGAUUUAUAUAUUUUUCCUUCCCUGUUUUUGAGAACAUAUCUUGGGAACAUAUUGAGCAAUUAGUCAUUAAGGUAUCUCAUGGUUGGGCCGGGGAUUUAGCUCAGUGGUUCCACUGCCUGAAUCGCAAGUUCAAGCGCAAGCGCAAGGUCCUGAGUUUGAUCCCCGGUACAAAAAAAAAAAAAAUCUCAUGGUUGAGAUAAUUAGUCUAUGAGUGCCUUAGAAAUCUUAUCAACUUUUUAAAUCUCAGAAACAUUGAUAUAUUCACAAUUUUGGAGUGUUGUAUUUGUGUGGUCAUAAGGUAGACUGAAUAUGUAGGAUGUUAGGCACAGUGUUAUUCA
rnacentral:lncRNA from 1 species